AAUUCAAACCCACUCCUUUUUUAAGGUUCCGUUAUGUUAUAGGAAACAGCUUCCGAAAUGAACACUUUUCUCAUGGUACAUUUUGUCAGGUCCUGCGAGAAGGGCUAAGAAAUCACAGAAGAGAACCUCUUCAUAUAGCAAUCCCAGGGAAAAAGAUGGAGAUUCAAGCAAUACCAGAUUGAACAAAAUGGGAUUUAAGAGAUGAAUGGGCUGUGGCUGCUGUUCUUCUUUCUAAGGCAUGAGUUUUAUCCCUGAAGAGCUAAAAUAAGGGAUCUGAUUAACCACUCCAGUUGUAUGCCAGUGCGACAUCGUAAUGUCAUCGCAGUAAUCAGUGGAGUUAGGCAGUCAUAAAAAUAAACUCAUGUAGCAACAGAGGAAGCCAACAGGUCAGAUGAACAAUCAAGACCUUUUUCUGAGUCUAUCUGCAGUCUUUCACUUGCAUCACUUUUCCCCUGCUACGAUGCUUAUAAAAGUUUUGGGCUGUUUGCAGGUGCCAAAAUAUUCUCAGAAUAAAUUUGCACUGAAUUUAAGACAAGCUAACUGAAGACCUCUCCUGAGUCCCUUAUUUUCUCAAAUUCCACAAUUACGAUGUUAUUCUUCCAGAAAUCCCUGAAGAAAGAAAGAAAGGAAAACAUAGAAAUUAGGAGAUUAUUAAUGACUCAAUCAUCUAUGAAUCUCAGAGAUCUGAGAUGGCAAAGGCCCUGACAUACAUCUUCCUGUAGUUUAUGAAGCAGUUAUUUUUACAUUCAGACUAUCAGAUGAAUUGUCACGGAGCCACUCCGCUUCCUCUCAGUUCACCCUCUGAAUGAUAAUGGACUUGGAAGACCUUUUAUUUGCUUGGCUGAUGUUGCUACAUAGUCAGGAUUCAGCACACCACCAGGACAUUUUCAAAUGCUUCACAAGUGACUCAACUGUUUUAUUCUUCAUUAACUUUGACUGGAAUUUAGGCUCCUAUCUCACCUGACUGUUUUAAUUAGUUUGGAAAAUCAAAUAAACUCUUUUUUAAGGAUAAGAGAUAUAGGUGAACUCUCUGUAUUAACCAACUUCUAGGAGUCUCUCUUCAGUACUAACAAAGAACAAUCUGGCACGAAUUAUUUCCUGGUGCUAUUCAGAGACCCUUCAAGACUUCACUUUUUGUUUUCAUAAGAUCACCUUGUAUAAUUGAGGGCUAAAAUGCAGGGCAAUUUGUUCAGAUCCCUCCCCAGUCUGUUUAUCAUCAUGGAUAUAUUCAGCUGACGUAGAAAAAAUGGUUGAACAAAAGAAGAAUCUAAAAUAUUUUAACACAGUGAAUCCAGGCAACUUCUGAAAAUGAAUUUGUUAAAGGCUGUUCAUUUGGAACAAAAUUUGAAAUGAAAGAAACAAUAUUUCAUAGAGAUAAAAAUAUAAAAUCAAAAUUCAGUUGAGUUACUAAAGAAUACCCUGUUCUUUUUUGAUGCAAUUCUUGAACAUUAACAAAAUCCAGUCUCAUGUUAAAUAAAUACUCUCUGAGAGCUCUUUUAAGCAUAAAUAUGAUUGCAGACAUUUGGACAGCAUGAAAGAUGUAUUGAGAUCAUCUUCUAUGGUACUGACUGACCUUGAAAGGUUUCAGAAUAAGAUGUCCUGUUUUACAAAAAAAAAUAUCCUAUUGACAAAGAGCUUCAGAUCAGGUUAGAGACUGGAGCUUCAUGACCGAUCAAAUACAUAGCACAAAUCUUAUUCCUCUUCCUAAUUUAUAUAAUUGAAAUUACUGUCCUUUAUGGGUUUGUUUAUUAGCUGUCUGAGUAAUAAUUAGAGAUGCUGUAAGAUGAGAAAGAUUUAAUAUUAUAUACUUUAUAAGAAAAUGACUUCUGGAUAAUUCACUAAAAAUGUGGUAUCCUCCCCAAGAAAAUACAAAAUGCUGUGAGACAGUGUGAGCUAGAUAAGGUCUCAAGACCUCUACCCUACACCCCAGAUAGGAAGCUACUGUUAGUAGCAUGAAGACCUACUCCAUCUCUGCUGCAGUGAUCCUGAGGAAGCUCUAAGGUGAAGCAGA